GGGGGCGUACUGGUUUCGACCUGAGGGAUAAGCCAGAGGCGGCAUGCCGAGGAUGGUUCGUUGGCCUCGUUAAUCAUCGGACCAAAAAACAACUGCUAACGAAGAAUUAGCACUCGCGGCCUAAUGCGCCGCGACGUUCACCGGCGGACACCUGCUACGCCGGAUGAACGCCACAGCAGGCAUGGUUGACGGCGGAGACCGCGCGCCGGCGGCCGAGAAAAUCUCCUGCGGACUAAGCGAUGCGACUCGCGUCAGGCUGUUAUCGCAUUGCCGACAACUCUCGCUUGACUAAGCAUGUAGUCGCGGCUGGUGGAUCUGUCAGGGACGCGGGUUCAACUCCCGCCGCCUCCACCA
rnacentral:tmRNA from 1 species